AAUAACCAGUCGAAAGAUUGGCUAAUACCGCAUAAGACCACAACAGCUUCGGCUGAAGGGGUUAAAGGCUUCGGUCGCCUUAAGAUGAGUCUGCGCCCCGAUUAGCUAGUUGGUGAGGUAAUGGCUCACCAAGGCGACGAUCGGUAGCUGGUCUGAGAGGACGACCAGCCACACUGGGACUGAGACACGGCCCAGACUCCUACGGGAGGCAGCAGUAGGGAAUAUUGCACAAUGGAGGAAACUCUGAUGCAGCGACGCCGCGUGAGUGACGAAGGCCUUCGGGUUGUAAAGCUCUGUUCUCAGGGAAAAAGAAAGUGAUGGUACCUGAGAAGAAAGGACCGGCUAACUUCGUGCCAGCAGCCGCGGUAA
rnacentral:rRNA from 1 species